rnacentral:tRNA from 1 species
UCUCGGCUCACGCAGGUGCCGACGGGCUCUCAUAAGGCCCGGACGCGCGGUUCGACUCCGCGGUGAGCC